CUCGUAGGCGGACUGUCACGUCUGCUGUGAAAAGCUGGGGCUUAACCCUGGCCUUGCAGUGGAUACGGGCAGACUAGAGGUAGGUAGGGGAGAAUGGAAUUCCCGGUGUAGCGGUGAAAUGCGCAGAUAUCGGGAGGAACACCGGUGGCGAAGGCGGUUCUCUGGGCCUUACCUGACGCUGAGGAGCGAAAGCGUGGGGAGCGAACAGGAUUAGAUACCCUGGUAGUCCACGCUGUAAACGUUGGGCGCUAGGUGUGGGGUCCUUCCACGGAUUCCGUGCCGCAGCUAACGCAUUAAGCGCCCCGCCUGGGGAGUACGGCCGCAAGGCUAAA
rnacentral:rRNA from 1 species